GGAGAUCAAAGAACCACCAAUCCUUGACUUUUGGAUGAAGUCGGAGGAUAAAAAAAGCACGAAAAAGGGAAGGAUGAGGUUCGAUCGGCAGUAACUGACAUAACAGAGCAAAACUGAUUAUUAGCCAGACCGAAUUUGGUACCAGCUAGGCAGGACAAAGACCAUAAUAGUCCAAAAUAUUUCAGACAAACUCUGAAAUCGAAAAUUGAAAAUCCGCCCAAAGAUCUUCGACAUAAAAAGCUAUCUAGCCCGAAAAAGGGGCGUUAUCCGACCGUUGGCACCAGGAGCGAAGAGCUAAAAUUGCUCUGGGAUGCGUAUUGCUCCUGGAGCCAAUCGAUGUUCAAUUUUGAAAGUGAAGAAGCCUCCACUUUCGGGUCCGAUGGAGAGUCAUUA
rnacentral:lncRNA from 1 species